rnacentral:rRNA from 1 species
AGAGUUUGAUCAUGGCGAUUAAAGAUAGAACGCUAGCUACAGGCUUAACACAUGCAAGUCGACGGUGGCAGCACGACGAGUGCUUGCACUUGUUGAUGGCGACCGGCGCACGGGUGCGUAACGCGUAUCGAACCUUCCCCUUACUCGGGAAUAGCCCGGUGAAAACCGAAUUAAUGCCCGAUAUAUAUUUAGAUGGCAUCAGAAGAGUAUGAAAGAUUUAUCGGUAAGGGAUGGCGAUGCGUAGGAUUAGGUAGUCGGCGGGGUAACGGCCCACCGAGCCUACGAUCCUUAGGGGUUCUGAGAGGAAGGUCCCCCACAUUGGAACUGAGACACGGUCCAAACUCCUACGGGAGGCAGCAGUGAGGAAUAUUGGUCAAUGGGCGAGAGCCUGAACCAGCCAAGUAGCGUGCAGGAAGACGGCCCUAUGGGUUGUAAACUGCUUUUAUAGGGGAAUAAAGUGAGGUACGUGUACUUUUUUGUAUGUACCCUAUGAAUAAGGACCGGCUAAUUCCGUGCCAGCAGCCGCGGUAAUACGGAAGGUCCGGGCGUUAUCCGGAUUUAUUGGGUUUAAAGGGAGCGUAGGCGGUAUUUUAAGCGUGCAGUGAAAACCAGGUGCUUAACAUCUGACGUGCUGCGCGAACUGGAGUACUUGAGUGAGCGGAACGGAGGCGGAAUUUGUGGUGUAGCGGUGAAAUGCUUAGAUAUCACGAAGAACUCCGAUUGCGAAGGCAGCUUUCGGUAGCUUUACUGACGCUGAUGCUCGAAGGGUGCGGGUAUCGAACAGGAUUAGAUACCCUGGUAGUCCGCACGGUAAACGAUGGACACUCGCUGUUCUGGCAGUUAGUUAGAGCGGCUUAGCGAAAGCGUUAAGUGUCCCACCUGGGGAGUACGCCGGCAACGGUGAAACUCAAAGGAAUUGACGGGGGCCCGCACAAGCGGAGGAACAUGUGGUUUAAUUCGAUGAUACGCGAGGAACCUUACCCGGGCUUGAACUGCAGGAGAAGGAUCUAGAGAUAGUGACGUCCUUCGGGACUCCUGUGGAGGUGCUGCAUGGUUGUCGUCAGCUCGUGCCGUGAGGUGUCGGCUUAAGUGCCAUAACGAGCGCAACCCCUGCCUUUAGUUGCCAUCAGGUCAAGCUGGGCACUCUGGAGGGACUGCCACCGCAAGGUGUGAGGAAGGUUGGGAUGACGUCAAAUCAGCACGGCCCUUACGUCCGGGGCUACACACGUGUUACAAUGGGGCAUACAGCGAGUUGGUGUGUGGCGACGCACAUCUAAUCAUGAAAAUGUCUCGUAGUUCGGAUUGGGGUCUGCAACCCGACCCCAUGAAGCUGGAUUCGCUAGUAAUCGCGCAUCAGCCAUGGCGCGGUGAAUACGUUCCCGGGCCUUGUACACACCGCCCGUCAAGCCAUGAAAGCUGGGGGCGCCUGAAGUCCGUGACCGCGAGGGUCGGCCUAGGGCGAAACCGGUGAUUGGGGCUAAGUCGUAACAAGGUAACCGUA